CCAAUAGCGUAUAUUAAAGUUGUUGCAGUUAAAAAGCUCGUAGUUGAAUUUCGGGAUUAGUACGUUGGUCGUGCCUUCGGUACGUACUGGUGUUACUGAUUCCUACCUUCUGACGAACCAUCAUGUCAUUAAUUUGGUGUGGCGGGAAAUCAGGACUGUUACUUUGAAAAAAUUAGAGUGUUUAAAGCAGGCUCGCGCUUGAAUACAUUAGCAUGGAAUAAUGAAAUAGGACGUUGACCCUAUUUUGUUGGUUUCUAGGAUUGACGUAAUGAUUAAUAGGGAUAGUUGGGGGCAUUAGUAUUCAAUUGUCAGAGGUGAAAUUCUUGGAUUUAUUGAAGACUAACUACUGCGAAAGCAUUUGCCAAGGAUGUUUUCAUUAAUCAAGAACGAAAGUUAGGGGAUCGAAGACGAUCAGAUACCGUCGUAGUCUUAACCAUAAACUAUGCCGACUAGUGAUCGGAUGAUGUUAAUUUUUUAAUGACUCAUUCGGCGCCUUACG
rnacentral:rRNA from 1 species